ACUCGAAGAGGUGGUUGGCACAGUCGGGGCUACAGACGGGCCGCAUCAGUGGAGGGACAGGUCGCAUGCACUGGCUGGGGCCACAGGCCAGUCGGCGUGAGCUUGGGCCCAUUCCCUCAGCACCUGCCCGGUCCUACUGAAGAAGCCCCUUGGCUCCUCAGGGCACUUGCCAGCUCUUGGGGGCCCAGGGCCUGGACCCUUGAAGUCAAGUGGACAACCGCCAAAGCAACAGCGUCGGCAGCAGGAGCUCUUUGGCACCACCGGGGGCACGCACAGGCUUCGAAGGGCCUGGGGCAGCCCACGCGGUCAGGAGCGGCUUCAGCAACCCAGGGAAUCCAGGCUUCCUGGCCGGGACCAGACCCUUGAUGUGACCAGGGCUCGGUGUGGCCUCGGCUCCAGAAUGAUCUAGGGGGGAUCGGAGGGAAGAGGAGCACUCCCCAGAAGGAAAGGUGCUGCGCUCUCAUCAGAACGCAGGAGGGAAGGGAUCCUGAGCCGAAACAAACAACAGCCACCCUCAGAUGCACCCCUGAACCUGCUGGAAAAGAAAGAUAACCCGCAGCCCAGGAUGAAGUCACCGUUCUAGCCGGCAAAGAAAAAGCCCUCUUCUGGCACCCGGUUGUGGGAGCAGCACACGCAGGACAGGAAGCGACCCGGACACGCCUGAAGAAGAAAACCGUUCGCCAUCCGUAUUGAUGAUUUAUAGAGUAACACCCGUUGUCCACCUGGCCUUUGGUCGGACCCUAGCCUAGAUUCCCGAAGCAACAGUGCCCUGGGCCCCUUUCCAGUGUGAGCCCCUCACCCCACGCGACGGGGAGAACCCCUCUCCUUCCCGGGUCCCCCAGACGCUUCGCGGCUACCGUCUACCUCUGCUCAAUGCACCGUUUGCACUUC